UACGAAGGUCUCGAGCGUUGUUCGGAAUCACUGGGCGUAAAGGGAGCGUAGGCGGCGUGGUAAGUCAGAUGUGAAAUCCCGGGGCUCAACCCCGGAACUGCAUCCGAUACUGCCGUGCUAGAGUAAUGGAGGGGUAGCUGGAAUUCUCGGUGUAGCAGUGAAAUGCGUGGAGAUCGAGAGGAACACUCGUGGCGAAAGCGAGCUACUGGACAUUCACUGACGCUGAGGCUCGAAGGCCAGGGUAGCGAAAGGG
rnacentral:rRNA from 1 species